rnacentral:rRNA from 1 species
UACAGAGGUCCCAAGCGUUGUUCGGAUUCACUGGGCGUAAAGGGUGCGUAGGUGGCAAGGUAAGUUUGAUGUGAAAUCUUCGAGCUCAACUCGGAAACUGCAUUGAAUACUAUCUUGCUUGAGGAUUGGAGGGGAGGCUGGAAUUCUCGGUGUAGCAGUGAAAUGCGUAGAUAUCAAGAGGAACACCUGAGGCGAAGGCGGGUUGCUAGGCUGACACUGACGCUGACAGCGCGAAAGCCAGGGGAGCAAACGGG